rnacentral:rRNA from 1 species
UGGGGAAUUUUGGACAAUGGGCGAAAGCCUGAUCCAGCCAUGCCGCGUGAGUGAAGAAGGCCUUCGGGUUGUAAAGCUCUUUUAGUCGGAAAGAAAGAGUUGCAAUGAAUAAUUGUGAUUUAUGACGGUACCGACAGAAAAAGCACCGGCUAACUACGUGCCAGCAGCCGCGGUAAUACGUAGGGUGCGAGCGUUAAUCGGAAUUACUGGACGUAAAGGGUGCGCAGGCGGUCUUGCAAGUCAGAUGUGAAAGCCCCGGGCUUAACCUGGGAAUUGCGUUUGAAACUACAAGGCUAGAGUGCAGCAGAGGGGAGUGGAAUUCCAUGUGUAGCAGUGAAAUGCGUAGAGAUGUGGAAGAACACCGAUGGCGAAGGCAGCUCCCUGGGUUGACACUGACGCUCAUGCACGAAAGCGUGGGGAGCAAACA